rnacentral:rRNA from 1 species
AAACGACUCUCGACAACGGAUAUCUCGGCUCACGCAUCGAUGAAGAACGUAGCAAAAUGCGAUACUUGGUGUGAAUUGCAGAAUCCCGUGAACCAUCGAGUUUUUGAACGCAAGUUGCGCCCGAAGCCUUUUGGCCGAGGGCACGUCUGCCUGGGCGUCACGC